CAGUGGAUCUAAUUCAAAUUUGGGAAGGAUUACCUAUUUUUGAUGUUCUGUGAUGUUGAUUGAAUAACUAAAACUAAUUAUUAAUUUAGUAAUAAGUCAUUCAACUAAAGAGAAACUAUACUUAACUAUACAUCCUCCAGCUUUUCAAGAUAUUAAGAAGUUUAUUAGCAGGAUUUUACUAGAGUGGUUAUUGCUGAAUUCUUUGCUCACAAAACAUUUUGAUGAGAUAUGCUUGGGAACGGAAUAGUUUGAGUUGAACAAGGAAAUAUGUGUGGCCUUGCCUCCACUUGCUCAGCCUCCACCACCUCCAUGCAAGGUUUAACUGGACCUUGUGUUUCCUGGAGCUGCUCCAUGUCUGAACCUUUGGACUGGAAACUACUCUGUCCACCACAUCUGCCAUUGUCCACCAUCUCCCCCUAGACUUUCAGUCCCCAAACCCCUCCCUGUUCUUUCAGUUUAUUAGCCGUUUUUUGGCUUGACUUCUUUCCUUUUCAGUUUAAUCCCUGAGUAGUCUCGUGUCUCAAUCCCUUUGACCUUCUAAUCCAGCUUUCUUAACAAUCCCAAAAUUCAGGUCAACUCAAUCAUCCGUUUUCUUACAUUUUGCUUUAAAGACAUUGAAGAAGCCUAAAGAAAAUUGAAUAAAUGAGUUAAUUAGUCACAUCACCAAGACAACAGUUUGGUCAGUGAAACACUCAUAGCUGUUGGGUCAACUUUUUAUUCAUCCCUGCCUGGCUCUCUUUCCUUUUCAUCACACAGUGACUGUUCACAUGUUUAUGGCUCUCCACAGGCCCUUCCUCAUCCCACUCUGAAAUCCUGCCACUCUCAAUGGUCAACCGAGCCUUACUCUUGCUGGUCACUGAUCUGUGAGGUUUAUAUGUAUUACCUUGUUGAAUCUUCACAACAGCCCUUUGAGGAAGAUAUUAUUACCCCUGGUUUAUAGAUGCCCAAGUUCUUAAAGAAAAUAAGUAGUGAUGCCUGGAUCUGAACCCAGGAAAUCUGACUCUAAGCUCAUGCCCUUUGUCCCUAAACUGCCUUGCUUCUGGUACAGACUUGGUCAGGCAUUUUCUCCCUAGAGCUUCAGUCCUUUCCACCUACAGAUUUUUCCAUAUCUUUCUCCUAGGCCAUUCUCUCCUGACUCUUCUCAGUUAAUCUCCUACCAAAGCUCUGUAUCCCCUGCUCCCCCGGCUCUCUCAGGGCUUUCUCCAUCAUUGAUUUGUUGAUUGAUUUAGCAGAUACUUAUUAAGUAUUAUUGUGUACUAGGUCUUAGGGACACAGGUAAACAAAACCUAAUCUCUAGUCCUGGAGCUUUACAUUCAAAUUAUUCCUCUAAAAUAUUUAACAUCUCACCAUGCCCUAGGCCCUCUUCCUCCUACAGAAAUGCUGAAGUUCGCCGGGCGCGGUGGCUCACGCCUGUAAUCCCAACACUUUGGGAGGCCGAGGAGGGUGGAUCCUGAGGUCAGGAGAUCGAGACCACGGUGAAACCCCAUCUCUACUAAAAAUAGAAAAAAUUAGCUGGGCGCAGUGGCGGGCGCCUGUAGUCCCAGCUACUUGGGAGGCUGAGGCAGGAGAAUGGCGUGAACUCGGGAGGCGGAGCUUGCAGUGAGCCGAGACCACGCCACUGCACUCCAGCCUGGGCGACAGUGAGACUCCGUCUCAAAAAAAAAAAAAAGAAAUGCUGAAGUGACUGUAUAUUUCAUACUACAUCUAGCACCACACCUGACAAGGCACCAGGAACAUGUUUGACAGAGGGACAAAUAAUUCCAAGUAAAGUAAUCAAGGUUUGGAAGUUUGUUCUUAGUCUCUAGCCUCCUUUUUAUUAUUUAUUUAUUUAUUUAUUUAGGAGAUGGAGUUUCUCUCUUGUCGCCCAGGAUGGAGGGCAAUGGCGCCAUCUCGGCUUAUUGCAACCUCCACCUCUGGGUUCAAGCAAUUCUCCUGCCUCAGUCUCCCAAGUAGCUGGCAUUAUAGGUGUGCUCUGCCAUGCCUGGCUAAUUUUUCUAUUAUUGGUAGAGACAGGGUUUCACCAUGUUGGCCAGGCUGGUCUCAAACUCCUGACCUCAGGUGAUGCCCCUACCUUGGCCUCCCAAAAUGCUGCAAUUACAAGCGUGAGCCACCAUGCCCGGCCUCUGGCCUCCUUUUUCUAAAAAGUAGCCCACUUCAGAUGUCGAAAACCCUUUCUCUCUCACUAUGUUCCCUUCUGAGCAGACCCAGAAAGGUUCUGAAAACCAACCUUUGCCAUUAAUGACUGACUAGUUGUACUUCCACUGAAAUCCCACCAAAAUUACCUCAAACUAGUACCUACAGUUUAAGCCUUUUAGUCUAUGAUUGUGAAACAAAAGGUAUGUGGCCUUAUUAAUAAAUUUUGGCAUCUGUAAGGUAGGAGAUAAUCGUGAGACAAGGGAACCUUCAAAGCCAUAUUUUGUCACUUCUAGUGGUCCUUGAAUAGAGGGUGAUUUUGCCCCUAAGAGAACAUUUGGCAAUGUCUGGAGGUAUUUUUGGUGUCACAGCUUUAUGGGGGAAGCGGGGAGGAUGGACAGUGCUACUGUAGGCUUCUAGCAAGUAGAGGCUAGGGAUGCUGCUCAACGUCCUACAGCACAGGUGACAAAACCUCACAACAAAGAAUUGCUGCCCCAACUUGAAAGCCACUGAUCGAAAGGGUGAACUUGACUGGAACAUUGAGGUGCCCUGUGAGUCAGGGCAGUUAGUAUCUGGGGGAUGCUGGCUGAGCCUGCCAAGCAUCUAUUGGAAAGUUGCUGGAGGUGAAGGAUCAUGUCUUUGGGACCUAGAGAGUGAGAUACUUGGACUCAGUUUCUGCCUCCACCCUUCCCCUAACUUUAUUUAGAUCUUCCCACAGCCCCAAGAAGUUCCGUACACAUUUUAUCUCGUCCUAGAUCACCUUCUUUUUUAGUAUGUAGAGAUUUUGAGGGGAAAGGUAAAUAGGAGACUCUUUCUCAACAGAGGUAGGAUAAGAUUUAUCUUAAUGCCAAUUAAACAAUAGUGAAGACCCAAAAGAAAAAAGUUGGAAACCCAAGCUUUUCACAUAAGUUAAUAGCAAUGAAGAAUCAGUUUAUUGAACAAUUUAUUGAACAUAAGAACAAUUUCAUAAAUUCUUAUGAAAUUAAGUCUUAAAGGAGGAGAAUAGGCAGGGCAUGGUGGUUCACACCUGUAAUCCCAGCACUUUGGGAGGCUGAGGCGAAUUGAUCACUUGAGGACAGGAGUUCAAGACCAGCCUGGCCAACAUAGGGAAACCCCCUCUCUACUAAAUAAAUAAAUAGAUACAAAAAAUUAGCUGGGUGUGGUGGCAUCGCCUAUAAUCCCAGCUACUUGGGAGGCUGAGACAUGAGAAUUGCUUGAACCUGGGAGGUGGAGGUUGCAGUGAGCUGAGAUCAUGCCACUGUACUCCAGCCUGGGCGACAGAGCAAGACUCUGUCAAAAAAGAAAAAAAAAAAAGGAAAGCUAUGUUAAUAAAGUAUAAAUUCCAAAAUUUAACCAGAAGUUAGUGGAUAUUAGCUCUUACCAUGGAAAAUUAUCAUUACUUAAAUAAUUUGCUAAAUUUUAUUUUUAAGUGGUUUAGUAGAAAUGUAUUUAAUAGAUGGAACUAUGUGUGUUUUAAACAAAUAGCUACUGCCAAAUAUGUAGAAGUAAACAUUGAAAUGAUAAUUAGGGCUAUCAAGAAUUGUUUGUAUAAAUCAAACCGAUCAGAUUCAUAUUGAUUAAAGCCAUUUUCUUAUUUUUAUACUUUUAUUGUUCAUCAUAUCACUAGCAUUUACAAUAAAGAAUAUAUAAUUAUGAAUUCAAAUAUACUCAAAUUCUCAUGAAGGCAAAACCCAAGAAGAAUAGUUGUAAACGGGAUCAUUAAGCACCUUUUUCAAAUAUUGCCUGAUUUCCACUUAGACUUAUUAGCUGAUUGCUUUUAGACAGUGGUUUCCAAACUUGGCAGUGUAUCAGUACCAUUUAAGAACUGGUGACAGGGCCAGGAAUCUCCAAUUAAAAUAUCAGCAACAAGGUCCAAAUGAUUUUGAUACCCAUUCAUGACAUAUAGGUAGUUGCCCUGUUGGUGCUUAUACUAAAACAAGUUUUAAAUGAAGAGGCCAGAUCUAAAAUAUUUCUGAAAUGUUUAAUUUGAAGCCCCAAAAUGCUUUAGGUAUUGUAAGUCUACCCCUACCUUCCAAGGAAUAAAAACUUGGAGGGGGAGGAAUGUGGUAAAAUGUGAUUAGUAAUCUUUUUGUCACAAUAAGGACAUUGAUGUCAGUGCACCUAAUUCAGAUUGGGGAAGGACUGCCUGUUUUUAAUUUUCUAGGAUGCUAGUGGGAUAACUAAAACUGUAAUUAUUAAUUUGGUCAAUAAGAAGUCAUUAAACUAAAGAAAGCACUGGAACCUACCAGUCUUAGUGAAUAACAUAAUUGCAUCUAGUCCCCAGAAACUUCUACAUCAACCUAAUAAUGUAUACAUGAAUCAUAUUCUUAAUUAACAUUUCCAUAAAUAUGCUGAAGGGCAGCUCAAAGAAAAUGGAAUACAGACUGAACAGGAUAUACAGGCAUCCUGAUUUCUACUCCUUCCCAUUCAUAGCUUGCUCUUUUGAUGCUGCCUAAUAGACAUCUCUAUAUUUUAUAUAUAUUUAGUGACAUAUUUCAUCUCCACUGUACUGACCCACUAAGGGCUUUGGAAGGUGAUGCCUCAUAGAUAAACACGAGGUUGCAUGGAUAGAUACUGUUUUAUUCUAUGAAUGACAAGUUCAAAAGGGUGGUUUCCAGGAAUGCAGUGCAUUUGAAAUAAUCAUUUAAAAUAAUGACAGCUGAUCAUUUAUUGUUUACUGUGUGUUUUAGGUGCUGUGCCAAGUUUAAGUUUAUUAUCUAAUUUAGUCAUAACAGCAACAUCAUGAAAUAGGUACCAUCAUAAUUCCUAUUUUACAAAUAAUGAAACCAGAAAACAGACAAGUUACCCAAAGUUAGUAGGUUAUUAAUAGUAGAGUUUGUAUUAUUAUUAUUAUUUUUUGAGACGGAGUCUCGCUCUGUCGCCCAGGCUGGAGUGCAGUGGUGCAAUCUCAGCUCGCUGCAAGCUCCGCCUCCCAGGUUCACGCCAUUCUCCUGCCUCAGCCUCCUGAGUAGCUGGGACUACACGCGCCUGCCAGGACGCCUGGCUGAUUUUUUGUAUUUUUAGUAGAGAUGGGGUUUUACUGUGUUGGCCAGCAUGGUCUCGAUCUCCUGACCUUGUGAUCCGCCCACCUUGGCCUCCCAAAGUGCUGGGAUGUAAUAAUUAUUUUUGUGUAUGAACUCGGCAGAGAAGUAUAUAAAUAGUUUUUUAAAAAACAAAGGAAAAGUCCUGUGGAAAAAAAUGGGAACACCUAGUAUUAAUAAAAAAAAAAAAAAAAUCCUGACACUUGAAGUGUCCACUUUCUUAGCAGAAAGUGGCUGAUUUUCAGACAGCAAACUAUGUAUCAGAAAACCGGGAGAAGAACCCAAGAUACGUCCCUACUCAAACUGAUUCAAACUUAGAUAUGUAUAUGGAACAGGAAGGGCUGGGAACAAAAUUAUCAGCCCAUUUCUAGUGGGUAGAACAUUUAAGAAUAAUUAUAAGGAAUUAUGUGAGGUCAUUUGUCAAGAAGGAGUCAACAGGGCAGUGCUGGAUGACACCUCUUCCAUUCCAACAGUGUAAGCUCGACUGUCUUAAAUUGAUCAGACUAAGGAAGAAUGAUCAAAGUUCUCAAAUAGGUUGCUACACCCUUCCACAUUCCAUCUGCAACUCAGCUUUUGUCCUUCAAGUUUCUAAUUGCUUCAUUUGAGCCAUACACUCAGUAUAAAGGAGGAAGUUGGACAAUCCCAGUCACAAAUGGGGAGCUGACUGGCAGUCCCCUGGAAUCACCUUUGCCUUCAGUCCCUAUCAUUGCGGGAGCCAGGUUGUAAAAUCUAGCAUGGGACAAGAGGCUCAUCUGUCAGCCGUGGCUCCCAGAGCAGUAGCCCGGCAGUAAGUGUCUCCAGGAGGAAUGUGAACAAUGCGGAACCACCCAGUCUCAAUGUAGUAGUAGGGACAGAGUUACUGUUCGCACUGGCAUUGGGGAUUGGCACUAUGCUAUCUGCUCUCGCUCAGCUCAUUACCCAUGGAAGGAAUUUGGCAAGCUUUUUUUUUUUAAGACAAGGUCUUGCUCUGUCAUCCAGGCUGGAAUACAGUGGUGUGAUCAUAGCUCUCUGCAACCUCAAACUCCUGGACUCAUGAUCCUCCCACCUCAGCCUUCCAAGUAGUGACGACUACAGGCACAUGCCACCACACUCAGCUAAUUUUGUAAAUUUUUGUAGACACAAGGGUUCACUAUGUUGUCCAGGCUGGUCCUGGUCUCGAACUCCUGGGCUGAAGCCAUCCUUCCACCUUGGCCUCCCAAAGUGCUGGUAUUACAGGCGUGAGCCACCGCGCUUGGCAGACUUUAUUUCUUAAAGAUUGCCGUCUUACUCAGCAUCUUGGAGAACUCACAAAUAAAUGUCCCUGAGUUUCAAGACAAGCCAGCCAUUAAAACCUUUUAGGGGGAUCCGGAGAAGAUGAGUUAAAUUGGAAUGGACUUGAAAAAACUGAUUUAGUUGGAUUUAUGGAUCACAGUCAUGAAAAGACCCUGAGGAAAGUGAACACGUAUGAAGCUGAUUGGCAGUGAAAGAAACUAAGAAAAGGAAAGCCCAGGAUGGAGCCUAAUGGAUAUUAAAGUAAAACUGAGUUCAAUUUCAUCUGUGCUGACAAGGACUUGCUCACAUGCUGAUGAUGGUGGCAACUGCUUAAUGGAAAAAUUGCAAAGGGCCUUGGAAUGUGAUCAUCAUGUUACACAAGGCUGAACCAAAUGCCUCUGCCAGGAGAAUCCUUCAGAGUGUCCUAGAACAUUGGAAAUAGGCUUAAAGCUUAAAUGAUGAAUCAGAAGAGUUAUGCUGUAUUCUAAUGCUGCCACGAGCCCAAACCUUAGGCCAUCAUUAAGGUUCUGCACCACAACCAAGUCUUCCACUGACAGCUUUCCUGAGUGACUUCAGGCUGCACCAUUGUAAUUCUUCAGAAAGUGUCUACACAUGGUAGCCAAAGAGCCUCGGCCCUGGAGCCAGACUGCCUGGAGUCAAAUCCUUGCUCUGCUACUUACGAGCUGCUGGUUAGUUAACCUUUCUAUGCCUCAGAUUCACCAUGUGUAAAAUGGAUUGUAAGAGUGGCUACUUGGUAAGAUUGUUGUGAAGUUUAAUAUAUGUGUUAAUAUAUGUAAAACACAUGGAAGAGCUCCAGGUACAUAGUAAGUGCUCUGUAAAUAUCAUCUAUUAUUAUUAUUGCAACUACAUUUCACACAUUUUAAAUAAAUCUUAAGAAUUAAAUUGUUUCGUGCAUGUAGAUAAUGUC